rnacentral:lncRNA from 1 species
GGGGAUAGUUGUACUAGAAUGAAUUAGUAGGCUUGAACAGUGCGAGCUAAAAAUUGACAUUAUUGACUUGAAACUAAACGUGAAGGUGUGGAUGUGAUAUUAGUAGUAGAUGAGAAAAUAGUAGCAGAUGAUGUAUUGGUAAAGCAAGUAUGUGUCGAUUAAAGUGUAGGUAUGUGAUGAUGAUUACAGUUCAGUUCAGAGUUUAGUAAGUUUUUACAGACUUAUGAUGAUGGCUUAAAGCCAAGGGGGGGUGGUAGAUCAAGUACCCAAGUCAGGCUCUCAUAUUUCAGUAGUAGUGCUAGUAUGUACAGAAAAGCAGUUAGGGAGGAUGAUUCUUGACCCAUCCUUAUCUC